CUGCUGCCAUGUGAGACUUGAUUUUCACCUUCUGCCAUGAUUGUGGGGCUUCCCCAGCCAUGUGGAACUGCUACUUCUGCAGAGAGAACACCAGAGGGGAAAGGAAUCUAUCAGAAGGCAAGAUGUUAAUGUAUCAAGGAAAGAUAACGAACUAAGACAGAGAAAACUGGGCAGGAAUAUGCAGUUAUUACACCAAGAAGAACCUUACAAUUAAGCUCAAGACCUACAAGAAGCUAUUAAAAUUAAUGGAGGAGCCAAAUGUGGAGCAGAACAUCUCUGGACAUCAAGUUGACCGGCCAAAAUUUCCUGGAACAGGUACCUUUCUGUUUUCCACAAUAAAUAUACAAGCCAAAAUGCAAACAGAAUUGGAAGCAGAAAUGAGAUACA